rnacentral:rRNA from 1 species
UACGUAGGGUGCAAGCGUUUGUCCGGAAUUAUUGGGCGUAAAGAGCUCGUAGGCGGUCUGUCGCGUCGGCUGUGAAAACCCGGAGCUCAACUCCGGGCCUGCAGUCGAUACGGGCAAACUGGAGUGUUGCAGGGGAGACUGGAAUUCCUGGUGUAGCGGUGAAAUGCGCAGAUAUCAGGAGGAACACCGGUGGCGAAGGCGGGUUGCUGGGCUGACACUGACGCUGAUGUGCGAAAGCUAGGGGAGCGAACGGG